rnacentral:rRNA from 1 species
UACAGAGGGUGCAAACGUUGCUCGGAAUCAUUGGGCGUAAAGCGCGUGUAGGCGGCACGGUAAGUCAGCUGUGAAAGCCCUUGGCUCAACCGAGGAAGUGCAGCUGAAACUGCCGAGCUAGAGUGCUGAAGAGGGUGGCGGAAUGCGCAGUGUAGAGGUGAAAUUCGUAGAUAUUGCGUAGAACACCAGUGGCGAAGGCGGCCACCUGGGAAGCUACUGACGCUAAGACGCGAAAGCAUGGGGAGCAAACAGG